rnacentral:rRNA from 2 species
GGGUGAGUAACACGUGGGUAACCUGCCUGUAAGACUGGGAUAACUCCGGGAAACCGGGGCUAAUACCGGAUAACACCUACCCCCGCAUGGGGGAAGGUUGAAAGGUGGCUUCGGCUAUCACUUACAGAUGGACCCGCGGCGCAUUAGCUAGUUGGUGAGGUAACGGCUCACCAAGGCGACGAUGCGUAGCCGACCUGAGAGGGUGAUCGGCCACACUGGGACUGAGACACGGCCCAGACUCCUACGGGAGGCAGCAGUAGGGAAUCUUCCGCAAUGGACGAAAGUCUGACGGAGCAACGCCGCGUGAGUGAAGAAGGUUUUCGGAUCGUAAAACUCUGUUGUUAGGGAAGAACAAGUGCCGUUCGAAUAGGGCGGCACCUUGACGGUACCUAACCAGAAAGCCACGGCUAACUACGUGCCAGCAGCCGCGGUAAUACGUAGGUGGCAAGCGUUGUCCGGAAUUAUUGGGCGUAAAGCGCGCGCAGGUGGUUUCUUAAGUCUGAUGUGAAAGCCCACGGCUCAACCGUGGAGGGUCAUUGGAAACUGGGGAACUUGAGUGCAGAAGAGGAAAGUGGAAUUCCAAGUGUAGCGGUGAAAUGCGUAGAUAUUUGGAGGAACACCAGUGGCGAAGGCGACUUUCUGGUCUGUAACUGACACUGAGGCGCGAAAGCGUGGGGAGCAAACAGG